rnacentral:lncRNA from 1 species
GUCAAGUCCAAGUGGAUCAAGGAUCUCCACAUAAAAGAAGAGACACUGAAACUUAUGGAGAGACAAAAUGGCAGGAACUACAGCCAAUUACUGGAAAACAUAAUGAAAAAUUGAAAAAUUGGAUGUUGGGCAGUAACAUCAAGAUUCCAAACUCCAGUUCAAAGGGCUGGAUUUAGAGAGUGAGUAUUCCCAAGGGGUUUUUUGAAGAGUGGAGAGUCAGAUAAACUGAGCAUGCAUUCCAAAGCUCAGUAAGUCUUAGAAUAAGAGAGAAAAACAAAUCCUGCAUGUAUAACAUGACAGCACGAGAUAGAAAGCCAAAAGAAGGAUCACUUAUACAUGUCUGCAUUCAAAGUAUGAAGCACAUAAAAUCUGAAAUUCUCUGGACCGAGCAGGAAAAGAACUGUGUGCUCAGGGAAAGUCACAAAGCAAUAUGGAGUCAAGCCUAUGAUUUAAAUGGACAGCCAGAAAUUUGGAAGGAACAAGACUUAACAUUUGAUGGGGAAGACUUGUAGAGACGAGGUAGACAAAGAUGAACAAAAUAGAAAUUUGCCAUCUCCAAUGCAAGGCACCAUCACUAAUAAAUAUCUUUGCUGAAAAAUAAAUGCAGAAUGGAAGACAGGAAAAGAAAAUUUGCAGAGUCCCCAAUGGAGGAGUUAGAAAGAGGACUGAAGAAGCUGAAGGGGUUUGCAACCCUAUAGGAAGAACAACAAUAUGAACCAACCAGAUCCCCCAGAACACCCAGGGACUAAGCCAUCAACAAAGAAAUUUCUAUCCUACUGGAUAAUGUAUGUAGGACACACAUGCCGUGUAAGAAUAACUUCCUUUAAACUUCAAGGAGAGAAUUUGCUCUGGUAAAGAAAUCAUACUUGUAACAUUGUAGCAAAGAUCUACAUAUAUACCUACGUGACUGAAAAUUCUUCCCUACCUUCCCAGGAUUUCUAGUUAUCCCCUAGGGGAGACAUAUAUAAGGUGACAGGGAAGUUAUAAUGAUACUUCUGAAACAAUUUGUGAUAGUGGUAACUUUCAGAGGACUGCUAAGACAGUAAACGAAUGAAGGUAUGAUUUUGUGACUCAGAAAUGAAGUUUCUCAAGGUUCUAGAAAGCUACAAAGAUGUCUGGCAUAUCCAGCAACUGCAUCAUCUUAUAAUUACUCCUGGUACAAGAUUGUGCCCAUUGAUAUCAUGGAAAUAUUUAUGUAGAACCAAAACAAAAGCUCUAUUUUGCCAA